rnacentral:rRNA from 1 species
GACGAACGCUGGCGGCGUGCUUAACACAUGCAAGUCGAGCGGAAAGGCCCUUUCGGGGGUACUCGAGCGGCGAACGGGUGAGUAACACGUGAGUAAUCUGCCCUUGGCUUUGGGAUAACCACCGGAAACGGUGGCUAAUACCGGAUAUGACGCGCCCCGGCAUCGGGGUGUGUGGAAAGUUUUUUCGGCCAGGAAUGUGCUCGCGGCCUAUCAGCUUGUUGGUGGGGUAAUGGCCUACCAAGGCUUCGACGGGUAACCGGCCUGAGAGGGUGACCGGCCACACUGGGACUGAGACACGGCCCAGACUCCUACGGGAGGCAGCAGUGGGGAAUAUUGGACAAUGGGCGGAAGCCUGAUCCAGCAACGCCGCGUGAGGGAUGACGGCCUUCGGGUUGUAAACCUCUUUCAGUACCGACGAAGCGCCGAUGAUGGUGGUGACGGUAGGUACAGAAGAAGCACCGGCCAACUACGUGCCAGCAGCCGCGGUAA